GCAGGAUUAGUGUAACGGUAGCACGCAAGUUUUCAAUACUUGAUUGAAGAAGCCAAUCUUCGGCGCGGGUUCGACUCCCGUAUCCUGCUC
rnacentral:tRNA from 1 species